CAACUCCCCUAGAGAUGCAGCCGGAGCCCCGGAAUUGUCCCUGAGGAUUUCCAGCAAGGAUUGCACAGGGCCAACUUCCCCACAUUCACGACCCCAAAAGAACCAAGGGACUGAACUUAGCCAUCAUCUGCAGUGAUCCAGCGAGAAAGAAAUGAAAUAGAAACAGGCCGGUCCCCAUAGCAACCCCGUGAAAACAAAUGCAGAGUUCCCAAAGGCUUAGGAGCUCUGCCAUGCGGCUCCACAUCUGCCCAGGUCAAACGCAAAUGGGUGUGAGAGCGCUGAGAGGCAGGACUUCAGAUCUCUCCGAGGAGAAAAGCGGUUCUGGAAACACUCUGCCAGUGUUGCCAGCGCUUGCCUGUGAGCUGACGGCUCAGAGUCAGGUCCUUGCUCAGCGUUUGUCCCUGCGGGCAGAGGGCAUCGUCACAUGGAGGGAACUGAGGUGACAUUGACUGCAGGUGUAGCGUGAAUUUUCACACCCCUACAAUCAGUGUGGGCAAGAGGUGAUUUUCUUCCCCUGGAAUGACUCAUUCAACACGUUCAGGUGACCAGUGAUGUCGACGAGAAAAGCCACAUUCAAAAUCCAGUUUUCAUCUUCUAACUCUGGUGCGGUUGAGAUUUCUGAGCAAGAACCGGCUGGAUUGCUGGUAGACGUGCCAGGGAACGGCCCAGGACUGUAACCACGGCGUAACCACCGCACUUCAGUGGGCGUGACGAGGUCUCCAUCUUCUGUUUCAAUUGGUCCACAAGUUCCCCACUCGGACGGUGAUGCAGGGGGCGAGCGCAUAGGAAGUGAACAAUCUGCACCACGUGCUUCAUUACAGGUUUCAGCCUGUCUCCCUUGUCAGGUUUAGCACUGAGCACUUCUUGGUGUAUUACGCAAUGCACCCCAAAUAUGUCAGCUUUCCACGAAGCCCCGGUGUGUUCCUGGCAUGGAGGGGCACCCAUCUGGUGUAAGCUGCUUCCAGCAACAACGGCCUUUCCCAGCCGCUUGGCUAGUCCCUGCCCUGCCCCCUCCCCCAAGGCAAUGCCCAGCCCCCCAAGUGUGCACCCCCCCUUCCCAGUAGCUGACCCUAUAGCAUGCCUGUCACUCAAUGCGCAGCCUAACCUCCUGACCCCAGCCUCCCUACAACCCCCGCUUCUACCCAGAGACAAACACCCCAAAUCACUGACUGUCCCCAGCCCACCUCCACCUGCCCCACGCCCCCAACAGCUGACUAGGGAGGAUGGGCUGGCAGGCCAGGGGGAGGGGGAAGCAGCCCUGUUCGCUUCACAGCUUAGCUGGUCAAUCCAAACAGAUGCAAUCACCUCCCCGGGGGGUCCGUCCCCCGCCCCCCCAUUCUGCCGCCCGAGGGGACGGAGCCUCCGUCACUGGCAGGCAGCCCAGCCUGGCUCCUACACAAACGGAGCCGGUGGGAACUCCAGCGCUGUCGGGUGCUCUGUGCCCAGCUCCUGGAGCGUUGCUAAUGCAAAAAGCCCCGGCCCAGCGUCCUGCCCCACGACCGGCAGCCAGGUACGGACCAGCACCACGGCCCCGUGUCAGUAGGGCCCAACAAGCCGCCCAUUGUACCUGCCAGUGGAGCUGGG